GCUUCCCUGUGGCUCAGUUGGUAGAGCAUGGUGUUAGCAACGCCAGGGUUGUGGGUUCGAUUCCCAUGGGGGGCC